rnacentral:rRNA from 1 species
UCCGUAUGCGGAUUGAUAAGUCAGAGGUGAAAUCCCACAGCUCAACUGUGGAACUGCCUUUGAUACUGUUAGUCUUGAGUCAUAUGGAAGUAGAUAGAAUGUGUAGUGUAGCGGUGAAAUGCAUAGAGAUUACACAGAAUACCGAUUGCGAAGGCAGUCUACUACGUAUGUACUGACGCUAAUGGACGAAAGCGUGGGGAGCGAACAGGAUUAGAUACCCUGGUAGUC